GACGAACGCUGGCGGCGUGCUUAACACAUGCAAGUCGAACGGAAAGGCCCUGCUUUUGUGGGUUGCUCGAGUGGCGAACGGGUGAGUAACACGUGAGUAACCUGCCCCUGACUUUGGGAUAACUUCAGGAAACUGGGGCUAAUACCGGAUAGGAGCUCCUGCUGCAUGGUGGGGGUUGGAAAGUUUCGGCGGUUGUGGAUGGACUCGCGGGGUAACAGCUUGUUUGUGGGGUAGUGGCUUACCAAGGCUUUGACGGGUAGCCGGCCUGGGAGGGUGACCGGCCACAUUGGGACUGAGGGACGGCCCAGGCGCGUACGGGAGGCAGCAGGGGGGAAUAUUGCACAAUGGACGGAAGCCUGAUGCAGCAGCGCCGCGUGCGGGAAAACGGCCUUCGGGUUGUAAACCGCUGUGGCCUGUGACAAAGCGUGAGUGACGGUAAUGGGUAAAGAAGCAACGGCUAACUACGUG
rnacentral:rRNA from 1 species